rnacentral:rRNA from 1 species
AACGAACGCUGGCGGCAUGCCUAACACAUGCAAGUCGAACGAGACCUUCGGGUCUAGUGGCGCACGGGUGCGUAACGCGUGGGAACCUGCCCUUAGGUUCGGAAUAACUCCCCGAAAGGGGUGCUAAUACCGGAUAAUGUCUUCGGACCAAAGAUUUAUCGCCUUUGGAUGGGCCCGCGUUUGAUUAGCUAGUUGGUAGGGUAAAAGCCUACCAAGGCGACGAUCCAUAGCUGGUCUGAGAGGAUGAUCAGCCACACUGGGACUGAGACACGGCCCAGACUCCUACGGGAGGCAGCAGUGGGGAAUAUUGGACAAUGGGCGAAAGCCUGAUACAGCAAUGCCGCGUGAGUGAUGAAGGCCUUAGGGUUGUAAAGCUCUUUUACCCGGGAUGAUAAUGACAGUACCGGGAGAAUAAGCUCCGGCUAACUCCGUG